UGGGGAAUAUUGCACAAUGGGCGCAAGCCUGAUGCAGCCAUGCCGCGUGUAUGAAGAAGGCCUUCGGGUUGUAAAGUACUUUCAGUCGGGAGGAAGGUGGUAAGGUUAAUAACCUUAUCAAUUGACGUUACCCGCAGAAGAAGCACCGGCUAACUCCGUGCCAGCAGCCGCGGUAAUACGGAGGGUGCAAGCGUUAAUCGGAAUUACUGGGCGUAAAGCGCACGCAGGCGGUCUGUCAAGUCGGAUGUGAAAUCCCCGGGCUCAACCUGGGAACUGCAUUCGAAACUGGCAGGCUAGAGUCUCGUAGAGGGGGGUAGAAUUCCAGGUGUAGCGGUGAAAUGCGUAGAGAUCUGGAGGAAUACCGGUGGCGAAGGCGGCCCCCUGGACAAAGACUGACGCUCAGGUGCGAAAGCGUGGGGAGCAAACAGG
rnacentral:rRNA from 1 species